rnacentral:rRNA from 1 species
CAUACGGGUGGCAGCAGUAGGGAAUUUUCGUCCAUGGGCGCAAGCCUGAACGAGCAAUGCCGCGUGAAGGAGGAAGGUCUUCGGAUCGUAAAGUUCUGUUGCAGGGGAACAGGAGCGGAGAGCGGACAUGCUUUCUGAUUGAUAUUACGCUUCGAGGCAGUCACGGCUAACUACGUGACACCAGCCGAGGGAAUACGUAGGUGUCGAGGGUUAUACGGAAUGAUUUGUCUGAAAGGGUGCGUAGGAGGCCUGCUAAGUCUGGAGUGAAAGGUACCGGCUCAACCGGUACAUGCACGGGAAACGGGCGGGCUAGAGAGCAAGAGAGGGCGGUGGAACUCCAUGUGGAGCGGUAAAAUGCGUAGAUAUAUGGAAGAACAUCAGUGUCGAAGGCGGCCGCCUGGCCUGUUAACUGACGCUGAGGCACGAAAGCGUGGGGAGCAAAUAGGAGUAGAUACCCGGGUAGUC